rnacentral:tmRNA from 1 species
GGGGCUGAUUCUGGAUUCGACGGGAUUUGCGAAACCCAAGGUGCAUGCCGAGGGGCGGUUGGCCUCGUAAAAAGCCGCAAAAAAAUAGUCGCAAACGACGAAACCUACGCUUUAGCAGCUUAAUAACCUGCUUAGAGCCCUCUCUCCCUAGCCUCCGCUCUUAGGACGGGGAUCAAGAGAGGUCAAACCCAAAAGAGAUCGCGCGGAUGCCCUGCCUGGGGUUGAAGCGUUAAAACGAAUCAGGCUAGUCUGGUAGUGGCGUGUCCGUCCGCAGGUGCCAGGCGAAUG